rnacentral:RNase_P_RNA from 1 species
CGGGUCGGACAGUCGCGGAUGCAAUGCCUAAAGGCAGUAUUCCGAGGAAAGUCCGAGCUUCACAGAGCAAAAUAGCGGCUAACCGCCGCCGAGGGCGACCUUAGGGAAAGUGCAACAGAAAUAAACCGCCUGUUUUUUGCAGGUAAGGAUGGAAAGGCGAGGUAAGAGCUCACCACCGACGAGGGAACUCUGUCGGUCUGUAAACCCUAUUUGAAGCAACACCGUGGUACGGAGCAUAUAUACGCUUGCUCGGCGUGCUCCAGGAGGUGGCACCGAGCAUUGGUGGCAACACCAUGCCAAGAUAGAUGACUGUUCAAGACAAAACUCGGCUUACAGACCCGAUCA